GACGAACCGAGCGAACGUUAUUCGGAAUCACUGGGCUUAAAGGGCGCGUAGGCGGGCCGUCAAGUCGAGGGUGAAAUCCCCCAGCUCAACUGGGGAAGUGCCUCCGAUACUGGCGGCCUCGAGGGGGAUAGGGGCAUGCGGAACUUCCGGUGGAGCGGUGAAAUGCGUAGAUAUCGGAAGGAACACCGGUGGCGAAAGCGGGAGACUGGGCCGUAACUGACGCUGAGGAACGAAAGCCAGGGGAGCGAAAGGG
rnacentral:rRNA from 1 species